CCUACGGGUGGCUGCAGUGGGGAAUAUUGGACAAUGGGGGCAACCCUGAUCCAGCGACGCCGCGUGUGUGAAGAAGGCCUGCGGGUUGUAAAGCACUUUUAGUGGGGACAAAAAGCUACAGGCUAAUACCCUGUGGUCUUGAUUUAACCCAAAGAAAAAGCACCGGCUAACUCUGUGCCAGCAGCCGCGGUAAUACAGAGGGUGCAAGCGUUAAUCGGAAUUACUGGGCGUAAAGCGUGCGUAGUCGGUUAUUUAAGUCGGAUGUGAAAUCCCCG
rnacentral:rRNA from 1 species